UACGAAGGGGGCUAGCGUUGUUCGGAUUUACUGGGCGUAAAGCGCGUGUAGGCGGAUCGUUAAGUCGGGGGUGAAAGCCCAGGGCUCAACUCCGGAAUUGCCUUCGAUACUGCCCAUCUGGGGUAGAGAAGAGGUGAGUGGAAUUCCGAGUGUAGAGGUGAAAUUCGUAGAUAUUAGGAAGAACACCAGUGGCGAAGGCGGCUCCCUGGUCCGGUACUGACGCUGAGGUGCGAAAGCGUGGGGAGCAAACAGG
rnacentral:rRNA from 1 species